rnacentral:rRNA from 1 species
UACGAAGGGGCGAGCGUUGUUCGGAUUUACUGGGCGUAAAGGGCGCGCAGGCGGCUCAUUUUGUCAGGCGUGAAAGCCCCGGGCUUAACCUGGGACUGCGUUUGAUACGGAUGGGCUAGAGUUCGGGAGAGGAGAGUGGAAUUCCCAGUGUAGAGGUGAAAUUCGUAGAUAUUGGGAAGAAGACCGGUGGCGAAGGCGGCUCUCGUGGACCGAUACUGACGCUGAGGCGCGAAAGCGUGGGGAGCAAACAGG